GCUAAAGGGACCCCCAUCAUGCCCCUAUGGCAGAUCAGGACACCCCCUUUGAUGCCUGAUAUAGUUAUGCAUUCACAGACAUCUGGCCAGAAGGUAUGGUACAGACAGCUGGAGUAUGCCCCAAUGCAAGUUGAAGUGUUGACCCAGGAUAGAAAUACAGCCUGCAUCUUGCCCAGGAGGGCAGACCUUCCCCUACUGGUACCUCUGAAACAUCUGUAUUACUCCCGAUGAGUCUUUGAGCCUCUAGGAUCACAGGAAGGAAUGAAAUGUCAUCGAAGUGUUCCAGUGUUGCUGUCAGAUCAUGUGUGACACCCAGUGAUGGCCUACAUGGGACUGAUGGAGCAUAGGAUGGACCUGCACCUCAUGACUAACUUCCUUAUUUUUACUCAGGAUUUAUUCAUGUGCUACCCAAGUUU
rnacentral:lncRNA from 1 species